rnacentral:ncRNA from 1 species
GGUUCCUGGCAGGGCGCCUGCCGGGAUGAAAAAGGAAUCCGGUGCAAAUCCGGAGCAGUCACCACUACUGUAAGGCGGACGGAUGAGCCACUGUGCCACUGGCGAAAGCUGGGAAGGCGGUUCAUCGGGGGGAGGCCAAGUCAGGAGACUUGCCAUAGAUUG